UUUUCAGUAUAAGUAUAUCUCAUUCAAUAUUUGGGAUAUACUUAUACUCAGA
rnacentral:pre_miRNA from 1 species